UUUUAUCUAUUUUAUCCAAUAUCAUGUUACAAAUAUCAAUCCAAUUAACACAAAGAAAAUGUAACAAAGACAUCUAAACAAAUCAACAAUGAAAUGAGAUCAGAUAGCAAAUCUAAUCACAGUAAACGCACAGAGAUACGUGGUUCAGUCUUUUGCAAAACCUACAUCCAUGGGUGAAGCCAUUGCGCAAGCUUUCAUUGAUAAUUCAAAGAUUGAAUUACAGAGCUAUGCUACUGAGACUACAGAGAGCAAGAUUCAUCUUUCUCUUUGUGAUUCUCUUGCUAUAACUCUCUAGAAUGAUCC
rnacentral:lncRNA from 1 species